rnacentral:rRNA from 1 species
CCCUUAGAUGUUCUGGGCUGCACGCGCGCUACACUGAUACUUUCAGCGAGUCCACCACCUUGCCUGGAAAGGUGGGGUAACCUCUGGAAAGUGCAUCGUGAUGGGGAUCGAUUAUUGUAAUUAUUAAUCUUCAACGAGGAAUUCCUAGUAAGCAUGUGUCAUCAGCCCGUGCUGAUUACGUCCCUGCCCUUUGUACACACCGCCCGUCGCUCCUACCGAUUGAGUGGUCCGGUGAGGCUUUGGGAGAGCCGGAUGGACUGUGUUUCACAGACUAUUUGGCUUGAACUUAGUCAAACCUUACUACUUAGAGGAAGGAGAAGUCGUAACA